rnacentral:lncRNA from 1 species
AUUUGAUAAAGGGAUGAAUAUGGAUAGGAAGAAUCCAAGUGCUAUUCCUCAGUAUAAUACAAAAAUGACUCCCAAGGCAUUUUGGAGAUUAUCAGUGCUGCCCCUUCUAUCAUAGGCCCAGAAUGCCAAGAUCUGGGGGACAGAACUAUGUCAAAAGAGGAGCCUUGGGUGCUAGAGAGACCACGGCACUACUGUCCAGUGCUGCCUCAAGUCUCUGCUCCCCAUAUUCUGGUGCAGCACUCCUUUGCUGCCCCAGGUGUGAUUCAAGUGGACCCAGGCACUUUGAUCUUGAAAUUCCCAGUCUCCAGAAAUAAUUUGUCUUCUUCUCUUCCAGUAUUCCUUUGAUUACAUUCUAGUGCAGAUGUUGAAACAAACCAAUAAAUGAAAUAUAAUGGCAAAAGUGCUAUGAAUAAAAAU